rnacentral:snoRNA from 14 species
AUGCAAUGAUAUUCUGUAAACGACGACGUCUCAUCUCAAUCCAAAUGAUACUGUAUUAACGGAAUACACGGUCGGAUGGGGACAUGGGCGAGUGUCUAAUCUUCUCUCUGAGCAUU